rnacentral:lncRNA from 1 species
AAUUUAUGUAUCUUUGCUUUGUGAGUAUGAGGAACUAAACCCCCCUUGGCUAGGGGGGGAUUCGAAACCAUGUUUAUGCUUGCUAUAUGAUUUGAUUACUUCCAAUUGCGUUUCAUAAGUUGUGAAUUCAAUUUAUUUAUCUACAUGAAUUAAAACUGAUUUGUGUAUGUUGGUUGAGAGUGCACGCUUAAUUUUCAUACAUAAGUUUGAUGCUAGGAUAUAAGGGAGUUUCACCUAAUCGUUAUGAACUUAUAUUCACAAGUAGUAAAAGUUGUUGAUCACAAUUGUGUUAAGUAAAUUCUUGGCAUAAGUUUCAUGCGCUUUCAUACUUACGAGUGCCUCGUCAAUACUUAUGAUUUCCAUUGAACGUAAUGAUCUUUGAUUGUAUCUUUAUUAUGCGCUUUCAUAUAGAGAACUUUUGAGGAAUAAUUUGAUUGUGAUGCGCUUUUUCCGUCCAAUUCAUUGACAUAAGGGAAAUCUGAAAGUUAAUUUAAGCGGACCUAAUUAACUUGGAGUGUUGAGUAUUCAUGGUUUAUUGAAUUGCAAUUAGAAAUCGUUUCGUAUGCAAGUGUGACAUGUGUGGAGAAGAACCCCUUAGCUAGCUUCCCAUCCAUUCAGUUUUAUCAAAUUCGUUUUAGAAUUUGUUUAAUUUACAAAGUUUUGUUUUUGUUUUCAAUUUUCGUCAAAAUCAAUCCCCCUUUAUUUUGAAGUGUCAUAUUAGUUAGAAAUCAAUUUAAGUUGUGUUUUUAAGAGUCUUGAGUCAAGUUAUACCUUAAUUUCGUCCAAGUUAGUGUUUUGUGUUCAAAACUGCCCAGAAAGUGUUUUUAAGGCAAUUUUGAGUGUUUGUUUGCUGUUUUGAGUCUUUUGGUUUGUCUUGGUGUUUUAAAGUUUAGUUUUGCAUUCUUUGAGUCUAGUUUAGUGUUUUAAACUUGUUUUUACGUAUUUGAGUCAGUUUUCAAGUGAUUUAGCAAUCCCUCCUAAUCCCCGGUCUAGAACGAUCCCUACUUACAUACUUUGCUACAAUUGAUAAAAAGAGGGUUUAAUUUGAGUGCUAGUUAAUAUCAUAUCAUUCAGAGCACACAUCUAAUCUAGAACACUAAAAGAAUUAGGGUAAAGUACAAAAAAGUACCUCAACUAUUGAUGUCACGACACUUUCAUACCUCAUCUUUUAAAAUUGACAAUGUCAUACCUCAUCUUACAAAUUUGUGACAAUGUCAGACCUCCAUCAGUUUUUCUGUUAAUUUUU